ensembl:lncRNA
GUUUGGACGAUGCUCUCAAGACCCAGGGGGUAACAAGUUUACCUGCACAAAGCCUAAACACUUCCAACAUGUAUGUUGAAACCACCUUGAGAGUCAGUUAUUGAUACUGAAAGCAUCCCAGGACGAUGCACGAAACUCCCCUGUGAGCUCCUAAUUACGUCUGAUCCUGAUCACACACACAAGAUACGCAAAUCAGUAAGUAUACGUGGCCCCUGAUCUCAUUAGGCUCGUGGUUUCCAAACUGAGGGCCCUCGUCCUAGGGGGGGCGCAUGGGAACUACAGGGGAGCGCCACUCCAUCACCAACCCACACACCGGUAAAACAAUAUAAGAUCAAAUUAGAACAAAUACUUGCAAACAAGUUGUGAAAAU